AUUGAACGCUGGCGGCAGGCCUAACACAUGCAAGUCGAACGAGUGGCGUACGGGUGAGUAAUGUCUGGGACACUACCCGAUGGAGGGGGCUCACUACUGGAAACGGUAGCUAAUCCCGCCUUCCAUCGCCUGUGCCCAGAUGGGAUUAGCUAGUAGGUGGGGUAACGGCUAACCUAGGCGACGAUCCCUAGCUGGUCUUAUAGGAUGACCAGCAACACGGGAACUGAGACACGGUCCAGACUCCUACGGGAGGCAGCAGUGGGGAAUAUGGCACAAUGGGCGCAAGCCUGAUGCAGCCAUGCCGCGGGUAUGAAGAAGGCCUUCGGUUUGUAAAGUACUUUCAGCGGGGAGGCGUUACCCGAAGAAGAAGCACCGGCUAACUCCGUGCCAGCAGCCGCGGUAAUUC
rnacentral:rRNA from 1 species